AUACGGAGGAUGCAAGCGUUAUCCGGAUUUAUUGGGUUUAAAGGGUGCGUAGGCGGUUUGCUAAGCGGGAGGUGAAAUGCCGGCGCUCAACGUCGGAAGUGCCUCCCGAACUGGUGGACUGGAAUGACUCUGCCGUGGGCGGAAUGUGUAGUGUAGCGGUGAAAUGCUUAGAGAUUACACAGAACACCGAUUGCGAAGGCAUCUCACGAAGGGUUGAUUGACGCUGAGGCACGAAAGCGUGGGGAUCAAACAGGAUUAGAUACCCUGGUAGUCCACGCAGUAAACGAUGAUGGCUAACCGCUGGGCUUAUCAGUUCAGUGGCCAAGCGAAAGCGAUAAGCCAUCCACCUGGGGAGUACGACCGCAAGGUUGAAACUCAAAUGAAUUGACGGGG
rnacentral:rRNA from 1 species